CCCUCCGCCGCCUCCCAUUGGUCGGUCGCUGCCAGCGCCGCGGCAUGACGUAAGAUCGGCGGCGUGCGAUUGGCCCGUGGCUGUGUCGAUCGCCCGACGUCACUUCCUGUCCAGCAAGGUCCCGCCCUGUUACUGUUGUUGUCGUGGACCCGGGGGGGAGAGAGACCGCGUUUCCAAUGGGAGACGAGUCGGUGCUUGUGAGCCCGCCGCUGGGUUGGAAACCGAUGGAAGAAAGGUGCAUAAGCAGGGACAUUCGACCGGUCGCCUGCCCGCUGCAGAAAGUGGACACAACACCUCCCAUCAGAAGGCAACGAUUGCGUGGUGCGUUACUUUGGAGCUCCCUCUGCACUUAAUCAGAAAUUCUUGAUACAUGGAAGAGUUUUAUUAAUACGCAGUAUAUUGAGUCUCCAUUACACAGUAAAAAAACCGACAACCGUUUAGUUAUUUUCGCACAGUGAUGUCCAAUAACGACCGGAAUGGAAGCCUGUCUUGCCUGGGGCGUAGCUGGAUCGGGGAUUUUAUAAACGGCCCCGAAAUAUGGCGACUGUCAUUUGUGGUUAUAUAAAAGAAUAUUACUGUGCAUACGUGACAAUAAAGAACCAUUGAAC